CCGCACAGAUACAGUGACGUCAGCUCCGAGACUCUGAACCGAGCACAUCAAGCCCACUGGCUCCGCUGCUGCGAGACGGGAAGCAUCGGUCAGGAUCGGCCAUAUUAAGCGUCACAUCUUAGAAUUUCUUACUGCGAUCUCACACAAUCGUUCUCGCUUCUGAACAAACUCUCUGCGUGCGAUUACUGCAAGCAUGUCCGCCAAUUCGAGCGAGGGGCCGGGUUUGGAUGGAAAAUGGUUCGAGGAGGAGGAGGAGAAGAACGGGAUGUUUGGGAGCGCAGGGCCCCGUUUCGACGAGAUGCGGGACGAUCCGCACGCGCCCAAGCAACAAUUCCAUCCCUUUGAAGCUAGCGGCGUUCCCAUGGAAACUACAUCGACAGGUGACUCUCUGUCUGACAUGUUUAUGAAGUCGUCAUCAUCAGGGGAGGGUGAUCUGUACACCUCUCUCCUUUCCUCCAAGUCCUCCUCUAAUCCUUUUAAUGAUGGUGCCUCUAUCUUCUCCACUGAGGGCAACCGUUCCCCACCUGCUCCUACCGGGACUGACUCCGGUAUCGGCAUGACCCCAGGUGACCCCUCAGACCAUCAUACGACCCUGCAGGGCUCACACAAGACAGACCAUUACAGCUACAUGGAUAUGGGGGAUGACCUCUGUGAUUUUGGUAGUGUGGGCAAUGCCAAGAACAAGCAGCAGCCUCUCAUGUCUGGCUAUGGAGAUGAAGAAGAAGAUGAGGAAGAAGAUGAAGAUGACAUUCAGGAUUUCAAGCCUAAGAUUCAUGAAAAGGAAAAUAAAGAAUCCAGCCAUGACCCCUUCGAUAUGGGUCGCUAUUUGGAGAAGAGCCCCCUUGGAUCUGAAGAUACAGAGGUGAAGAGUCAGGGUUCGGCCGGUGGGCAGCACACAUUCCCGUACGUGGAGGAUCCUUCAGAUGAAGAGAUGGCAGAUUUCCGAUCUUACCAUAGGAUGGAAACGCCACAGAGUGCCAGUCCUGUAAAGAUCACCGUUACGACAGAGUCCCAGCCGGUGAGAGUGUCUCCACAAGGGGGCAUGUUCGAGAGAGAGAGCGUGCUUAGUUUUGGUCAGCAGGGUCUUCCCACUGUAACACUGUCAGAACCAGAGGAUGACAGCGCAGCCUCCUCAGCUAACCACUCCCCUAACCACUCCCCUACAGGUCGAGAGUCUCCGUCUGAUGUGCUGUUCCAGCCUGCAGGAAUUAAAUCUGUGAGCUCCACCCAAGAUUCCAGCAGCAUCAGCUCUUAUCCCAAUCUUCCUGAAACCAAGGACAUCAAGAGCUCAGCGAAACCCUCGUCCCCAUGGGCUCAAGACCUUCAAGGCAGUGAUGAGUCUGGAGAUUCAGAAAUUGAGCAAGUGGCUGAAGAACCUGAUUCGCCAAUACUUGAUCUGACAUCUAAGACCCCUCCCACAAAAGGCGGAUUCAGUCAAGCAAGCAACCCAUUUGAGCAGGCCAGCAACACAUCUGCCAUUGAUAAAGCUAGUAACCCAUUUGACAAGCCACAAACCAACAAGGUCAGUGCUGGUAACCCAUUUGACCUCUCUGGGGGUUCCAAAGGGGGGCUUUGGUCAAUCCAGCAACCCACCACUCUACAGUCUGUUAAGAGAGGAAAGGGAGGCAGAGCUCGACACCGACCUGCUAAUCGAAUCAGCUUCUGAGGAAAGUCCCAAGAGGGAGCAAGAAUAUUCUGCCCCAAAACCUCCAGAAAUAUCUUCUCCCCUGACCACAGAUGUCACGUCUUCUAAGCCCAUUACGACACCCUGCGCUACGGCCUCUCUGUUCACCGAUCCCCCAGCUAGCACCUUGAGAGAAACAGAAAAAGAAAAAGAGAAAGUCGUACCUGUUGAGAAGCCCAAGCCGCAACCAGAGGACAGCUGGUCCACCAAACCCAGGCCCGCAGUAAUGGGAACAUCUACAGUGACUCCAGAACAGCAUUCCAGUCAGGAGAAGGAGAAUAAAAGCAAAAGCAGUAUCGUGAGUUCCACAACAGAGAAAGAGGCUGAUCUGUUCCUCCAAAGCAUCAACAGACAGAAAGUGGUAGAUCUGUUACAUUGGCGGGAUGUGAAGCAGUCCGGGCUGGUGUUCGGCAGUGUGUUGCUGCUGCUGUUCUCUUUAACCCAGUUUAGCGUGGUGAGUGUCAUAGCGUAUCUCGCUCUGGCUGUCCUCUCCGCCACCAUCAGUUUCCGAGUCUACAAAUCAGUCCUGCAGGCCGUGCAAAAAACCGACGAGGGCCACCCCUUCAAGGCCUAUCUGGAGGUAGAGAUCGCCCUCUCUGGAGAUCAGAUCAGUAAGUAUGUGGAGAAGACUCAGCUGUACAUCAACUCGACCACGAAGGAGCUUCGCAGGCUGUUCCUGGUUCAGGAUCUGGUCGAUUCCAUAAAGUUUGCAGUGUUGAUGUGGUUGUUGACCUAUGUUGGAGCUCUGUUUAAUGGCCUGACCCUGUUGAUUCUGGCGGUGGUUUCCAUGUUUACCGUGCCACUGGUUUACGAGAAGUACCAGACACAGAUUGAUCAGUACUUAGGACUGGUGCGCACCCAGGUUAACUCGAUAAUGGGAAAGAUUAGAGAGAAGGUUCCUGGGGCCAAAAAAAAGGAAUAAACUCUUCGCUUCUGUACAAGUAAACACUAUAGCCAGUAAAAUCUACAACUUUGCCAGCACUGAAGGACCCCAACUACACAGGAGGCCAAUGUCACCUCAAAAAAAAAAAAAAAAAGAAGAAAAAAAAAAAAAAAAAGGCAUCAACAACAAAAGAUCAUCAUGUUAGUUAACUGCACCAAUAACACCCCGCCCCUCCCUCCCACUUUUGCCAGUCACAGGUGAAGCCCUGCAUAAGUAACUAACACCGAUUCACAUAAAUGACACCUUGUGGGCGAUUGUAGAGCUUUAGAUAUACCAGAGGGACACACACAGUGCUUCUCGCUUCCAUUGCUUCUGAUUUAAGUGCAUGAAGUCUAGUCUUGAGUAAAUUUUUGCUAUCUCUGCAGUGCUCUUCCUCUUUGCUUUAUUUUGCAGUGCAUAUUUCCUGCUGUAAAAUGUGACACGAAAAUGAAAAUCAUGCCUGUCAUAUAAUCUCCUGCUGCCAUGUCAAUUAAUUGCUUCAAUUCACCAUCACUGGUUGAGUGGCUCUGUGUACAGACAUACUUAAUAUCGAAUUGAAUUGUGGAUUUUUUCUUUCUUUUCUGUGUAUUCGAGCACAAUGAUAAUUUGAAGGUGUUAUUACUAAAUGUGUAACUGUAAUUUUUGCAGAACUGUAGGGAUACGUGUAGGUGUUUAAAGACGAGCUUUGUUGUCCUCUCUAGGGCACCCGAUUGUCAGACUGCAGAGCUUCAGCUGUACUAAACUGUCCAACUUUGUACGAUGUUCAGUGUUCAGUUAUUUUAAAGUCUUUAAUUAUUUGCACUCUGUAUUUAAUUAACGAAUGGGAAAAAUAAAUGUUCCUUAAUGUAG